GACGAACGCUGGCGGCGUGCCUAAUACAUGCAAGUCGAACGCAGUGGGGACGGGUGCGUAACACGUGGGUAACCUCCCAUCAGAGGGCAUAACACUUGGAAACUGGUGCUAAACCGAUACUGAUGGAUGAACUCGCGGGGCAUUAGCUAGUUGGUGAGGUAACGGCUCACCAAGGCCACGAUGCAUAGCCGACCUGAGAGGGUGAUCGGACACACUGGGACUGAGACACGGCCCAGACUCCUACGGGAGGCAGCAGUAGGGAAUCUUCGGCAAUGGGCGAAAGUCUGAUCGAGCAACGCCGCGUGAGUGAAGAAGGUUUUCGGAUCGUAAAACUCUGUUGUUAGAGAAGCGGUAUCUAACCAGAAAGCCACGGCUAACUACGUGCCAGCAGCCGCGGUAAUAC
rnacentral:rRNA from 1 species